CUUAGUUUCUUCGGGAAGCCUCUAUCAACAUCCAUAUUCACUGUUUCGCAGCAUCAAAAUCAACAAUCUCCCACGAACUUCAGCCUCUAUCAACAUCAGUCGCUCCAUUCCAAUUUCGGUUUGACAAGCCACUAACUUUACCGGUGCGCUUUUAUAAUCAUGGCAUUCAAAUCCCCAAUUUAUAUGAGCGGAAUGGAUGUUUGUGAUUUCAAUGGCCAUAUUAAAAUGGCAGAGUGGAAUCACGAGAAAGAAGGAGAAGAAGGAUUGGGUCUGGGUUUGUUUUGGAUUGCGCAUGACACCAUACAUCUUGAGUUCAGAAAUGCUGCCGUUAUGUCAAGUGGGAAGAGUAUGAGGCGUUGCAAUCAUAACUCAUGCAGGGAGUAAAUGUAAUGCCAAGCCCUGAAGCCCGAAGGGAUUUAGGAAGGUUGAUCCAAACUGGUGGGAGUUUGCAAAUGAGUGGUUCCUAAGGAGCAGACACAUUUAUUGAUAAAUUUUGUGAGGAGAAAAUGCAACAAUAACUUUCCCUCUCAGAGUUCAUGUUCUGGAUUUCUGUUUCAGGGUUGGACCUAAUUUUCAAGUUUGCAACUUUAUAUUCCCAAAAGCCAGAAGAGAUUUAGGGCUUGACAUAGUCUAAAAGCCAUGGGAGAAGAUCAUGUGUACACAAAAGAUCGGAGGGUUGAAUCCAUUCCAGAUGAGGUUCUCAAAUUUUGAUUUGUUUUUAGUUUUUCCCCGUUCUCUUCUUUUUACUAAAACCUGUCUUCAUUUGUUUGUGUACAACUCCUUGCAUUCUCUGGCUCACACCCACUUAACAGUAAUUGGCUCAGGUGAUUUAUAUGAUCUCUUAUAUAUGCCAAUGUAAUUCAUACGUGAUCUGUAUGAUAUAGUAUUGUUUAAUGAUUACAUCAGUUUAAAUGGUUAGUUGUAGUUGGAGUAACCGUAUCGGAAUUGCUUAGUAAGGGUGCACUUGCUAUUGUUCGUUUCUUAUUCUUUCCCGUUGUUUGAAUUGUACUUAACUAUCUCAAUUAUUUUUGCACGAUCAAAUUGCUUUUCCACAGUGAUUUCUAUUCAAUGUUAAUGAUCUGUAUGUCUUAUCAACUUCACGUUGUUCAAUACGUAAUUUCUGUAGCUCUGUUUAUUUGAAUCAGUCAUGUAGAGUUUCUAAACUGUAAUACAUUGCCCUAAAAAGGUUAUUCCCUUUUCCUUUCCAGUUUUAAUAGUGAGGUUUCUUCCCUUUUCCUUUCCCUCACAAGCUGGAAUAUGGGCUUUUGAACAUCAAGCCUGAACGUAUGGAUACUUUCUUUUCCUGUUAUCUUUAGUCAACGUCUUAGUUUGAGUGAACAAAAACUAGAGGAUCAGAGGUUUUGACUCCACAGAGGUGCACUCUCUACAAUGAUUGUAUUUGUUUAUGCAGAUUCUGUAUGCAAGCAGGUCUGCCAUUACCCUGAUCCUGUAACAAGGUUUAACAUUGCACCAGACUUGAUGAAUCAAGCAAAAGAUUAUUUGAACAAAACUAUAUAUGUUUGUUAUAUUGUUGGCUAGAGUGAGUGUUUUAGAAUGCGCAAAAAAAAAAAAAAAAAGUAUCUUCUAAUGUUCCAAUUAUGUUUAUUCGACCCAAAAGUUGUGGUUGCACAGUUGUGUGCAGUCCUGCCUUACUUUGAAUGCCAAUUUAGGAUGGCCUGCCUUUGGAAUGUUGAUUUAUGUGAUUCUGUAUUUGUCCUAUCUCUGUUUCUUUGUUAGUACAUUUUGAAUGAGAACCUCUCCUAUCUGCCGCAAAGAAGGUAAUGUGUGCUGAGCAUUAAGUUGCGAUAAUAGUUACUAGGAAUUUCUAAUUUGGAGUAAAUUGAAUGAAUUCUUCAAAAGUGAGAUUAUUUUGACAACAAAUAUUGGCCCAGAAAUGUUAAUGUUAAAUUAGAAGUGCUGCAUCAAGCAAACAAACCCACGGCAUCGCGCGGGCUAUAUCGCUAGUUUAUUUACUAUAUACUAGAGCUCCUGUAACUGUACUGUUCUUAGGAACAGUUCAUAUCAGCAGCGGAAUGACGGUUUUGCCCCCGAAGAAUGUAGCGAGAGAGAGAGAGAGGCUCUGAGAUACAGGCGUGGCGGCCAUCAAGCUGUCCGAUAGAAGCGAGUAUCGACCGCAUCAAUCAGGAUUUGAGAUACGUAGGACGAGUAGGAGAGGCUUCGGUUUGUACAGUUGGUGUCUUGAUAGCCGUAAUAGUUAUCAAAUCCUGGCUCCCAUAACAUUGGCAUCAUAUAAAUAUCCCAAUGCUGAUGAUGUUUAGAUCAAGCGUCUCCUCCUGUAGUGAAAUCACGGUCAACAAAGAAAAAUUGGCAUUAUGGAAUGCUAGGGAAGUUCAUAAUAGGAAGUUGUGAUACAAAGCUCCUAGAACUGCUGGAUUGUAAAAAUUGCUCAACUCUUGGACGUUGUAUGCUUAUGUAAGGACCCUUUGCUUUAUGGUCGGUUAGGAUAUUUUUGCUCAAGUUUGUGAUCACCUUUGAAUUAUGCUAUCAAUUGUUUUGAAUGGUAUCUUAUGGGAAAGUGAUAGUUCGUGCUCCUGAAGAAAAUGCUAGAGCUUCCUACAAUUUGGACACUCUUUGAACUACAGAGCCGUUUGAGAAAGAACCAAUUCAGGUAAAGUUGAAGUGGACAAAUUUUUU